rnacentral:rRNA from 1 species
UGACGGAAUAUUAGGACAAUGGGUGAGAGCCUGAUCCAGCCAUCCCGCGUGAAGGAUGACGGCCCUAUGGGUUGUAAACUUCUUUUGUAUAGGGAUAAACCUAGAUACGUGUAUCUAGCUGAAGGUACUAUACGAAUAAGCACCGGCUAACUCCGUGCCAGCAGCCGCGGUAAUUAAA